rnacentral:lncRNA from 1 species
CUGGUGUCCAUAAAAUUUUUGUCCCGUCUGCGAUUAGGGCUGGCAAAUGAGCGAGCCGGCUCGCGUUCGACUUGCGUUCGACUCGAUAUUUGGCUCGCUCGAGGUCGAAUCGAAAUUAAAUGAGCCGAGCUUGAACAAAAAAAAAAGCUCGAAAUUCAUUUCAAUCCAAGCUUGAGUAUUACGCGGCUCGUUCGAAUUAAGCUUGAAAAGCUCGAAAAGCUCGAAUAUAUAUAUAUAUAUAUAUAUAUAUAGUAGAGUUACUAUGUUAUCGAAAGUAUAGAGAAUCUCGUGCUUUCGAUUUUUUGAUUCUUCGAUCAACCCCUUUAAUUAUUUCUUAUCUUUGAAUUAAUACUAUUAUUACCUUGCAGAGACCACUCAAUUCUAGGGAUAUUAUUUAAUCCUAGGGGGAACCGCAAUUAUCCCAACCAUACAAUUUUUAAUCAAAGGGUCAAAAAUUCGAAAACAUCAAAUCCUCUAUAUUUUCAAUAGCAUAGUAGUUCUACACUAUAUAUAUAU